CCCCCCACCAGUGGUAAGGGAUAAAAGUAAACUUAAACAGAAAGAUUUUUAGAUAGAAUAAUAUUUCGAUUGCUCAUCAGAAUCAAAUCAAUAGGAAAAGAAAGAGUAUUUGUAUUUGUGUUUGGUGAAGAGGUUGAUUGGUUCAUCGAGCAUCUUUAUUAAUCGUUGAUUGAAUCAUUCAGAGAUGAAUCAACCAAAUGAAUACGCUGCAACGAAUGCUACCCUGAAUCGUAAUAUAUUGGAAUUGAUCGGUCAAUUUUGGGAGGAAUUCAGGAACAUGAAUGGUCGAAUUAUCGAUAUAGGCUGCGGUCCUGGAAAUACCACAAGAGAUAUACUUGUCCCAUGUGUCGGCAGGGAGGCUGUUAUUGUUGGUGCUGAUAUAUCCCCAGAAAUGAUUGAGUAAGCAAAAGAGCAUUAUGCAGUUGAUGAUAAACUAUCAUUCAUUGAGUUAGAUAUGCAAACGUCUGAGCUACCAAAAAACUUGAUCGAACAAUUUGAUCAUGCAGUUUCGUUCUAUGCUCUCCACUGGUGUAAGAAUACACAGAAAGCAUUACAGAACAUCU